rnacentral:rRNA from 1 species
GCCCAGAUGGGAUUAGCUUGUUGGUGAGGUAACGGCUCACCAAGGCGACGAUCCCUAGCUGGUCUGAGAGGAUGACCAGCCACACUGGAACUGAGACACGGUCCAGACUCCUACGGGAGGCAGCAGUGGGGAAUAUUGCACAAUGGGCGCAAGCCUGAUGCAGCCAUGCCGCGUGUAUGAAGAAGGCCUUCGGGUUGUAAAGUACUUUCAGCGGGGAGGAAGG